UACACACCGCCCGUCACACCAUGGGAGUGGGUUUCACCAGAAGUAGGUAGUCUAACCGCAAGUAGGACGCUUACCACGGUGAGAUUCAUGACUGGGGUG
rnacentral:rRNA from 1 species